UGAGCCAAAUCAGCCAUGCAGCUGUUCCAGACCCCAGAUGAUUUGCAUGUUUGUAGAACACAGUCCACUGAACACUGCCUUCAUAUUAGACAGUGUACACACUUUGGUAUUCAGCCCCAGACAGGACACAGGUCAGUCAUGAUAGCUCCAAUACAACUCUUAGGGCUGCUGAUGCUCUGGCUCCCAGGCUUGAACUGUGACAUCCAGAUGACCCAAUCUCCUUCACCUGUGUCUGCAUCUGUGGGAGACAGCGUCACUGUCAGCUGCAGAGCAAGUCAGAGUAUUAGCAAUUACUUAGCCUGGUAUCAGCAAAAACUUGGAGAAGCUCCCAAACUCCUAAUAUAUCAUGCAAAAACUUUGCAAUCAGGCAUCCCAUCAAGGUUCAGUGGCAGUGGAUCUGGCACAGAAUUCACACUCAGCAUCAGCAGCCUGCAGCCUGAAGAUGUUGCCACAUAUUUCUGCCAGCAAUAUUAUAGCUGGCCUCACUGUGAUCCAAGUCAUAACAAAAACCACCCAGAGAUGCAGAAGAGUGAGGCUGGGUUUUCACAUAUGUUCUUUUGGUUCCUGCUAUUGCUGGUGUAAUGUAUCAGAUACAGC